rnacentral:rRNA from 1 species
UUUUGGUUGUAAACUUCUUUUAAUAAGAGAGACGAUGACUAGCUUAAAAAAAAAGUCCCAUCUAAUUUCGUGCCAGCAGAUGCGGUAAUACGAAAGGGGCAAACGUUAUUCGAUGUAAUUUGGUGUAAAGCGUUUGUAGGUGGUAAUAAGGCAGUUUAAAAGUAAAUUAAAAGACUCAAUCUUUUUUCAAAGAUUUUAAAAACGCUAUUACUUUGAGUAUAAAAAAGGAUUAUAGAAUUUUAAAGGGAGAAAUAAAAUUUGAAGAGCUUUAAAGGAAUACCGAAAGCGAAGGCAAUAAUCUAGUUUAUUUUACUGACAUUGAGAAACGAAAGAAUAGGGAGCAAACUGGAUUAGUGACCCAGGUAGUCUAUUCUGUAAACGAUGAAUGCUUGUAUUUAGGAUAUAAAAUCUUUGAUACUUAGUUAACACAUUAAGCAUUCCACCUGAGGAGUAUAUUCGCAAGGAUGGAACUCAAAGGAAUUGACGGGGGCUUAUACAAGUGGUGGAGCAUGUAGUUUAAUUCGAUAAUACACGAGAAACCUUACCAGUUUUUGAAUUUUUAAAUAAAGUUUUAUUUUAAAACACUCUUUUAUACGUAAAACUUUCUUAUUUACAGGUGUUGCAUGGUUGUCGUCAG